GACGAACGCUGGCGGCGUGCCUAACACAUGCAAGUCGAACGGAGAACUUAAGGAUAGAGACUUCGGUCAAUUGAGAUUUGUUCUUAGUGGCGGACGGGCGAGUAACGCGUGAGUAACCUGCCUUUCAGAGGGGGACAACAGUUGGAAACGACUGCUAAUACCGCAUAACGUCAUUUGGGGGCAUCCCCGAGUGACCAAAGAUUUAUCGCUGAAAGAUGGACUCGCGUCCGAUUAGCUAGAUGGUGGGGUAACGGCCUACCAUGGCGACGAUCGGUAGCCGAACUGAGAGGUUGAUCGGCCGCAUUGGGACUGAGACACGGCCCAGACUCCUACGGGAGCAGCAGUCGGGAAUAUUGCGCAAUGGAGGAAACUCUGACGCAGUGACGCCGCGUGCAGGAAGAAGGUUUUCGGAUUGUAAACUGCUUUAGACAGGGAAGAACAAAUGACGGUACCUGGAGAAAAAGCAACGGCUAACUACGUG
rnacentral:rRNA from 1 species